rnacentral:rRNA from 1 species
ACGAACGCUGGCGGCGUGCUUAACACAUGCAAGUCGCACGGAAAGGCCCUGCUUUUGUGGGGUGCUCGAGUGGCGAACGGGUGAGUAACACGUGAGUAACCUGCCCUUGACUUUGGGAUAACUUCAGGAAACUGGGGCUAAUACCGGAUAGGAGCUCCUGCUGCAUGGUGGGGGUUGGAAAGUUUCGGCGGUUGGGGAUGGACUCGCGGCUUAUCAGCUUGUUGGUGGGGUAGGGGCUUACCAAGGCUUUGACGGGUCGCCGGCCUGAGAGGGUGACCGGCGACAUUGGGACUGAGAUACGGCCCAGACUCCAACAGGAGGCAGCAGGGGGGAAUAUUGCACAGUAGGCGGAAGCCUGAUGCGAAAGCGCCGCGUGCGGGAAGAAGGCCUUCGGGUUAUAAACCGCUUUCGCCUAUGACGAAGCGUGAGUGACGGUAAUGGGUAAAGAAGCACCGGCUAACUACGUG